UACGUAGGGUGCGAGCGUUAAUCGGAAUUACUGGGCGUAAAGGGUGCGUAGGUGGCGCGCUAAGUCGGGUGUGAAAUUUCGGAGCUUAACUCCGAAACUGCAUUCGAUACUGGCGUGCUCGAGGACUGGAGAGGAGACUGGAAUUCAUGGUGUAGCAGUGAAAUGCGUAGAGAUCAUGAGGAAGACCAGUGGCGAAGGCGGUCUCUGGACAGUUCCUGACACUGAGGCACGAAGGCCAGGAGGCAACGG
rnacentral:rRNA from 1 species